UCUAGAACAGGGCCAUGUACCACAAAGAUGGAUUACUGAGUUAGCAGGAUUACUGCAUUAAGUAAAACCUGGAACCUGGGACAAAUCUGGAACAUGGACUGUAGUAAAAAAGAGCUGUUCUGGGGUUUACUCAGUGCAGUUAUCUAGCUAACUCAGUAAUCCAGCUUCAUGAAAUACCCCCCUGGGCUGCCCAACCCUGUUCUGGGAGAGCUACCAUCUUGUAGAUUUUCAUUUCAACCCUAAUUUGACGCAACUGAUUCUACUAAUUAGCAGCUCAAGGAGACAGUAAAAAGCACACAAGACAGUAGCUCUCCAGGAAUAGGUUUGGGCAGCCCUGAUCUAGAAACAGUAAGUACACUAAGAUUAUUUAUUGAACACCACAAUAGAAGUGAUGUUCUUUCAAUGCCCCAAGAGCCUUUUAGUGGUUUGGGAACUGGGAUGAUAAAUGGAGGAUUGGAGGUUCAUAUCUCAUGAUUAAAACCUACAGCACAAAGACCUUAACCAGAACAGCAUCUGUAAAGAGCUGGCCUUAAGCCCAUGUAGUUGUAGCCAGACGGGCCACCAGGGGGCAGGCAAAACCCAGAGCCCUUUACAGUCGGUAUUCAGUCGUACAAAACCUACAGUAAAAUUAAAGCAUUAGUGUGCACCCAGUUUCUCACCCGCUCAGGUUGGAAGGCAGCUGCUGAAGGGUCUGGCGGGGUGGUGACAUGCCAGGCCUGCACGUGACCCAGAGGCAGCCGUGGGACAAGAGCGGCCUUCACGAAACCAGAAGGGACCCGGAGGUCAGCAUGGAGAAACUCCUGACCCCUCUCAAAAAAAGCCACCUGUGCCUCUGCUGUGCUUGGAUCUGGAGGUGUUCACGAUGCUAAGCCGAAUGACCUCUGACCUACGCGCUGAAUAAACCCAGCAAUCACCUUGUUGGACUUCUUAACUGUA